rnacentral:rRNA from 1 species
AUACAGAGGGUGCGAGCGUUAAUCGGAAUUACUGGGCGUAAAGCGCGCGUAGGCGGCUUAUUAAGUCAGAUGUGAAAUCCCCGGGCUCAACCUGGGAACUGCAUCUGAUACUGGUAAGCUAGAGUUUAGGAGAGGGAAGUAGAAUUUCAGGUGUAGCGGUGAAAUGCAUAGAGAUCUGAAGGAAUACCAGUGGCGAAGGCGACUUCCUGGCCUAAAACUGACGCUGAGGUGCGAAAGCGUGGGUAGCAGACGGGAUUAGAAACCCCGGUAGUCC